GAUGAAGAACGCAGCGAAAUGCGAUAAGUAAUGCGAAUUGCAGAAUUCAGUGAGUCAUCGAAUCUUUGAACGCACAUUGCGCCCUGUGGUAUUCCGCAGGGCAUGCCUGUUCGAGCGUCAUUUCAACCCUCAAGCCCCGCUUGGUGUUGGGCCCCGCCCGCUGUGGCCGGCCCUAAAGACAGUGGCGGCGCCGCCUGGCCCUCAGCGUAGUACAUCUCUCGCUCCAGGGUCCGGUGGCCGCCUGCCAGAACCCCCCAACUCUGUGGUUGACCUCGGAUCAGGUAGGGAUACCCGCUGAACUUAAGCAUAUAAUAAGCGGAGGA
rnacentral:misc_RNA from 1 species